UACGUAGGUGGCAAGCGUUGUCCGGAUUUAUUGGGUUUAAAGGGUGCGUAGGUGGUCAAUUAAGUCAGUGCUGAAAUAUCCCGGCUUAACCGGGAGGGUGGCAUUGAUACUGAUUGACUUGAGUGGAGUUGAGGUAGGCGGAAUUGACGGUGUAGCGGUGAAAUGCUUAGAUAUCGUCAAGAACACCAAUAGCGAAGGCAGCUUACUAAGCUCUAACUGACACUGAUGCACGAAAGUGUGGGGAUCAAACAGG
rnacentral:rRNA from 1 species